UACGUAGGGGGCAAGCGUUGUCCGGAUUUAUUGGGCGUAAAGCGCUCGCAGGUGGUUUGUCGCGUCGUGCGUGAAAGACCCCGGCUCAACUGGGGAGGGUCGUGCGAUACGGGCGGACUGGAGGCCAGUAGGGGGAUGCGGAAUUCCGGGUGUAGUGGUGGAAUGCGUAGAGAUCCGGAGGAACACCAGCGGCGAAGGCGGCAUCCUGGACUGGUCCUGACACUCAUGAGCGAAAGCGUGGGGAGCGAACGGG
rnacentral:rRNA from 1 species